rnacentral:misc_RNA from 1 species
AACCAUUCUCACCUGCGGCUAGACCUGCGGAAGGAUCAUUACACAAUAACAUAUGAAGGCUGUACGCGGCUGCGCCCUCGGGCCAGUUGGCUGAGGCUGGAGUAUUUAUUACCCUUGUCUUUUGCGCACUUGUUGUUUCCUGGGCGGGUUCGCCCGCCACCAGGACCACAUGAUAAACCUUUUUUUAUGCAGUUGCAAUCAGCGUCAGUACAACAAAUGUAAAUCAUUUACAACUUUUAG